CCUACGUGUGGCAGCAGUGAGGAAUAUUGGUCAAUGGGCGCGAGCCUGAACCAGCCCAGUAGCGUGAAGGAUGACUGCCCUACGGGUUGUAAACUUCUCUUAUAAAGGAAUAAAGUGAGGGACGUGUCCUAUUUUGUAUGUAACUUAUGAAUAAGGAUCGGCUAACUCCGUGCCAGCAGCCGUGGUAAUACGGAGGAUCCGAGCGUUAUCCGGAUUUAUUGGGUUUAAAGGGUGCGUAGGCGGCCUUUUAAGUCAGCGGGGAAAGUCUGUGGCUCAACCAUAGAAUUGACGUUGAAACUGGGGGGCUUAAGUAUGUUUGAGGCAGGCGGAAUGCGUGGUGUAGCGGUGAAAUGCUUAGAUAUCACGCAGAACCCCGAUUGCGAAGGCAGCCUGCCAAGCCAUGACUGACGCUGAUGCACGAAAGCGUGGGGAUCAAACAGGAUUAGAUACCCCAGUAGUC
rnacentral:rRNA from 1 species